rnacentral:rRNA from 1 species
GACAGAGGGUGCAAACGUUGCUCGGAAUCACUGGGCGUAAAGGGCGUGUAGGCGGGAAGUAAAGUCAGAUGUGAAAUCCCUGGGCUCAACCCAGGAACUGCAUUUGAAACUCACUUUCUUGAGUACCGGAGAGGAAGGCGGAAUACCUGGUGUAGAGGUGAAAUUCGUAGAUAUCAGGUGGAACACCAGCGGCGAAGGCGGCCUUCUGGACGGUAACUGACGCUGAGACGCGAAAGCGUGGGGAGCAAACAGGAUUAGAUACCCUGGUAGUCCACGCUGUAAACGAUGAGUGCUAGGUGUCGUGGGUAUUGACCCCCGCGGUGCCGCAGCUAACGCAUUAAGCACUCCGCCUGGGAAGUACGGUCGCAAGACUAAA